ACGAGCUCCAACGAGAUCUCCGGCGAACUCGGCGAUCUCCGGCGAACUCGGCGAUCUCCGACGAACUCGACCGACGAUCUCCGGCGAAUUCGGCUAUCUUCAAGUUUGUUUGUUUGUUGUUAAUUUGUCAAUAGAGAGAGUGUUGGCGUGAGGAUGAGCUGUUAUCGAGGUAUACCGAUUACUUUGCAAAGGCACUCUCCGGAGUAGCGUUCCCAUGGGUGAAGAUGUUCAACGAGUCUCCUAAUUUGUCCACUCUCAUCGAUGUUUCCUUGUCUCAUAUUCCUCAAUCUAUCUACGGAACAACACGCAAUUGGAUGAACAUGCCUCCAGUUGAAGUUAAGUAUUUCUCUGCGUUUAUAUUGUGUGCCUUUGAUCAGAUCCUCAUUGAUUUGGAAGCACAAUAAGGGGGUGGUGACGACUCCAAAUCUCAGGUGGGAAUGUUUGUUGCAUUAGCCAUCGUUUUGCAUUGUAAACCUGAGGCGUUGACUAGUGUAUUACCGACUCUGAGAGAGGAUCCUAAGUAUCAAGGUCACGACAAGCUUCCCCUUACUGUUUGGAUGAUUGCUCAGGGAUUUGAAGCCUGAGAACUUUCUGUUGCUGAACGAAGAUGAGAACUCUCCUCUCAAAACCAUUGACUUUGGUCUCUCCGAUUUCUACAAGCCAGGAGAUGGGUUCAAGGAUAUAGUGAGUGAUGCUUAUUACAUGGCACUAGAGGCUUUGAAAAGGAAGUAUGAAUCAGAAGCUGUUAUCUGAAGUAUUGGUGUCAUGAUAUUGUAUAUCAUCUUAUGUGGUGUCUCA